UACAGAGGGUGCGAGCGUUAAUCGGAAUUACUGGGCGUAAAGCGUGCGUAGACGGCUAUCUAAGUCGGGUGUGAAAGCCCCGGGCUCAACCUGGGAAUUGCAUUCGAGACUGAAUAGCUAGGGUACGGUAGAGGGAAGUGGAAUUUCCGGUGUAGCGGUGAAAUGCGUAGAUAUCGGAAGGAACAUCAGUGGCGAAAGCGACUUC
rnacentral:rRNA from 1 species